GACUUUUGAAGUAAAAUAAAGUUUUGUUAAAGGGAGUUUAUGCUUUGCUGGUGUUUGAGUUCGUUCCCUACUCCAACUAGUAAAUUAAUUCGUAUCCAACAGGGCAGGCUACAGGUCAUUGACCGGAGCAACCUCCUUUACUUUUGGGUUUUGAGAAUGAGCACUAGUGCAUUGGUUGCGGAGAAAGUGUGGAAAGAUAUCGAAUCAACUCAUUCAGUUAGCGAUGAGCAACUCUCGAUAUUGCAUUUCUUGUUUGGGAAAAAUCUUGAGCGAGCAAUGAGAAUAGUUGAUCAAAGAGGUGUCAAGAGGAUCUUGGGUGAGCCCAGUGGCCGUUCCAUCUUUCAGGUUGUAGGAGAGUCAAAGAGGAAGGAGAAAUAUGUAUGCUUUGCACAACAUUAUUGUGCUUGUUAUUCCUUCUUCUAUGACAUUGUAAACAGAGGGGAACAGCUUUAUUGUAAGCAUCAAUUAGCUGCGAGACUUGCUUCUUCGUUGGGAGCAUGUAUUGAUGUGAAAAUGUCUGACGAUCACCUUGCUCUCAUGCUCUCCCAGCUUUGAAUCUGGAGUUUCCUUCCAGGUGUCCCCCAUCCUAUGCGGCCACGAGUACAUGAGAAUUUUCCCCAAUACAAUCUUGUAGUUUGUAAUUUGUGCAACACUCUUAAAUUUGAGGUGGCUUGUUUUGCCAUCCCAACUUGCAUGCACCUCGGCUAGUCCACCGGAUACCUACAACCUCCCACCGGCAUAUGUACUGGGUUGAAGCAACAUCUUUUCCUAAAAGAAAUGCAACCAUCAUAUGCUUUUAUAGUUUUCAAUGAUGAAGAUUUAGACUUUGGAACUACUGCUUUGUUUUAAGAUGACCACUUUCUUUUGGAACUUGCAACAAAGUAAUCAGAUCUCACCUGAUUCUCUGCAUUGCACCUGAUGUACUUUAACUAUGUUGCCAAAAGAGGAAUCAGUAUCUGAUGUCAUUUGUUUGGUUGAUGUACAUUGGUAAGAAAACACCUGGUGAUAUCAUUGUUUCAGAAACAUCUAAAGCUGUUUAUUCUUGUUAUACAUAGAUAUAUCAGAUGAGGAAACCACUUUGUUUUCUUUGAUUGCUUUCAAAGGAAAGUAACAGAUACAAUUUGUAUAUUUAAGUAACUGGAAGUUUAUGUUGUUUAAUUGUACCUAA